rnacentral:lncRNA from 1 species
AUAGUUUCACUGCUUCCAUCCAUGUUGUUUUUCAUCUACUUUGGACUGGGAGUAGUAAUAGUUUUGCCUUUCAGGAAUGGCGUCCCCCCAACAAGUGUAUGUCAGGGUUAAUAACUUGGUGGUUAUAACCAGUUAUAACACAGGUGGUCAAGGCUGCCAUUCUACCCAGUGCCUGAGAAGCAGGGUUUAAACCUUAUGGUUUCAAAUCUGGUGAAACGACACUUGCCUUUUAUAUAUGACUAGAACAAACCAAUAUAUAUAUAUAUAUAUAUAUAUAUGACUAGAACAAACCAAUAUAUAUAUAUAUAUAUAUAUAUAUGACUAGAACAAACCAAUAUAUAUAUAUAUAUGACUAGAACAAACCAAUAUAUAGUCCGUUGCUUCUUCCUACUACUACAUGUAGGAUGUUUAAUUACACUAAAGGCUGUGGUUAAUAUAAACAUGUGCUUAUUUCUGUAAACCAUGAUUAUAGAAUUUAGUCUCCAGUAUUUUAAAUAAUUUAAACUGUUAUAUUUUUUAUUAUGAAAAUCAUUAUUAUUAUAAUUUUUUUUUUUGGUGUGUGUGUGUGUGUGUGUCUUUGUAAUGAUUGUGACUGAAACUGUAGUUUUAAUGAGAGCGUGGUGUUUUGAUGAGACGAGCAGGAUAUUGCUUGGUACCUCUGUUACUGAAGGAUGGAUUGUUAUUUUGGUCAUGAUAGGAGGGAGGGUGACAUUGUCUCACGUCAGAUGGCGUCAUUCCUCCGCGGCGCUCGUACCUCAAACCGGGUCGAUUCAACAAAUUAAAACAUAGUCCCUUAUUUUAAAAAAAAUUUUUUUUAAACAUCACAGCGCUCUCAUAUGAUUCUCCAUGAAAUAGGCAGAAUAACUUAGCUAGCUAAAUUAUUUCAAACGUUGUGACAGUGAUUUAAUAGUUUGCAAUUGUGAGGAAAAUAAAAACAAACCAGGGGGUUACCUUCUGCACAAAUUCCAGGACGUUGCUCGCCAGGCAGUGACUUGAUCAGCCAUGUUGCUAUCCGUUGUAGCUAGCUAGCUAGCUAGUCAGCUAGCUCUUCCGUCACUGACAUUAAAAAGCUUGCUUAGCCUGUUUAAAUGACCCUGAAGUUGUAGACAUGCAGCCCCACGAUGAAUAGGAAGUGGCUGUUAAUAACAGAAAUCAGUCCACAGAUCAGCAUGUUUCCACCCGGAUCGUAUUGUUGGGUCAGCUGAGAGGCUACUGCUUCACGAAAACUCAGAAUAAUGGAAGCAUUAGCACUACUAGCUACAGUAGCUUGCUAACUAGCUUUUGUUGGAAGAUUCAACAUUGUUUGUGCAGCACUAAGAAGGUAGCUGGUUGGUUAGCAGUGUCGUUUCAGUCAAGAUGAUUUCAGGGAUUGGCUCAGCUGUUGGACAAACGUAGGCUUUCGUGCCCAUAGUUCAAAACUUCAGAAAUACUGCUCAUUUGAAGCACAAGAAUCAUUAGCUAGAUGUAAAAUGGGGCGACUUAAAGACUUCCUCACCAAAAAAAACAACAUCAACAUUAUUGUAUUUGUGGUUUUAACAUAGAUGAAUUCAGACAGUUCUGAGGCAGGAAUGAGGUUCAGCAGAUGAUGUCUCCUGGGUAAUAUGUUCUAACGUCGUGACAGCACCGUUGUAGCCGGACUUCUUUUGAUCUAUCCCGUGAUCCUUUGAUCUAUCCCAUGAUCCUUUGCGAGAUACAAGACGGAUCAGUGCAGGUCGGAAAGCACGCUCUAUCUGAUGGAAGACAAUGGGAGGGUGGGCUCUCUCUGUGUGUGUGCGUCUUGAAUUGGCACCCUAUUCCCUAUAUAGUGCACUACUUUUGUUCAGGGGCCCUAUGGCACCCUAUUCCUUAUAUAGUGCACUACUUUAGACUGGAACCUAUAGGGAAUAGGGUGCCAUUAGGGAUGCCCCCUCUGUCUGGUUUUUUCUGGCCAGCUGCCGGCAGCACACCAGACCUACUGGCAUGUUCCCGUUGAUCGAUACUGUACUUAUGACAUAUUUCUGUUUAUUUGGAGAGAGAGAGAGAGAGAGAGAGAAAGAGAAACAAUCUGGAAAUGAUUAUUAUUUUAUUUUUUUUGUAACUGGAUUUACAAGAUGCUUAAAUAAAUGAUUGUAUUUAUAACCUG